rnacentral:rRNA from 1 species
UACGUAGGGGGCAAGCGUUGUCCGGAAUCAUUGGGCGUAAAGAGCGUGUAGGCGGCUCGAUAAGUCUGCUGUGAAAGUCCAGGGCUCAACCCUGGAAGGCCGGUGGAAACUGUCGGGCUAGAGUCCGGAAGAGGCGAGUGGAAUUCCCGGUGUAGCGGUGAAAUGCGCAGAUAUCGGGAGGAACACCAAUGGCGAAGGCAGCUCGCUGGGACGGUACUGACGCUGAGGCGCGAAAGCGUGGGGAGCGAACAGG